GACUCCGUGGCGCAACGGUAGCGCGUCCGACUCCAGAUCGGAGAGGUUGCGUGUUCAAAUCACGUCGGGGUCA
rnacentral:tRNA from 1 species